rnacentral:miRNA from 1 species
CUUCCAAAGUUUGCAAAUUUUGUAUACUUUUGUAUUGCAAUUUUCGUAUGCAAUACAAAAGCAUACAAAAUUUGCAAUCAUGGCUAUAUUUU